GAUGAACGCUGGCGGCGUGCCUAAUACAUGCAAGUCGAGCGAACAGACGAGGAGCUUGCUCCUCUGACGUUAGCGGCGGACGGGUGAGUAACACGUGGAUAACCUACCUAUAAGACUGGGAUAACUUCGGGAAACCGGAGCUAAUACCGGAUAAUAUAUUGAACCGCAUGGUUCAAUAGUGAAAGACGGUUUUGCUGUCACUUAUAGAUGGAUCCGCGCCGCAUUAGCUAGUUGGUAAGGUAACGGCUUACCAAGGCAACGAUGCGUAGCCGACCUGAGAGGGUGAUCGGCCACACUGGACCUGAGACACGGUCCAGACUCCUACGGGAGGCAGCAGUAGGGAAUCUUCCGCAAUGGGCGAAAGCCUGACGGAGCAACGCCGCGUGAGUGAUGAAGGUCUUCGGCUCGUAAAACUCUGUUAUUAGGGAAGAACAAAUGUGUAAGUAACUAUGCACGUCUUGACGGUACCUAAUCAGAAAGCCACGGCUAACUACGU
rnacentral:rRNA from 1 species